AUUCAGCUGACGAAUCCCAAAUAAACCGAAACGCGCGUCCUGUAU
rnacentral:hammerhead_ribozyme from 1 species